GAUGAACGCUGGCGGCGUGCCUAACACAUGCAAGUCGAGCGAACGGACCAGAAGCUUGCUUCUCUGAUGUUAGCCGCGGACGGGUGAGUAACACGAGGAUAACCCACCUAUCAAACUGGUAUCACCACGGGAAACCGGCGCUAAUACCGGAUAAAAUUUUGCACCGCAUGGUUCCAAAGUGAAAGACGGCCUUGCUGUCACUUAUAGCUGCAUCCGCGCUGCAUUAGCUAGUUGGUAAGGUAACGGCUUACUAAGGCGACGAUGCAUAGCCGACCUGAGAGGGUGAUCGGCCACCCGGGAAGUCAGACACGAUCCCGGCUACUACGGGAGGCACCAGUCGGGAACCUUCCGCAAUAGGCGAAAGCCUGGCAGAGCCACCCCGCGUGAGUGAUGAAGGCCUCCGGAUCGUAAAACUCUGUUAUGAGGGAAGAACAUAUGUGUAAGUACCUGUACACAUCUUGACGGUACCUAAUCAGAAAGCAACGGCUAACUACGUG
rnacentral:rRNA from 1 species